rnacentral:rRNA from 1 species
GAUGAACGCUGGCGGCGUGCCUAACACAUGCAAGUCGAGCGAGGGUUUGCUCAGUAUUGAGUAUUCUAAGACUAGAAUGUUCAAUUCUGAGCAAAACCAAGCGGCGGACGGGUGAGUAACGCGUGGGUAACCUGCCCUAUACACAUGGAUAACAUACUGAAAAGUUUACUAAUACAUGAUAAUAUAUAUUUGCGGCAUCGCAGAUAUAUCAAAGUGUUAGCGGUAUAGGAUGGACCCGCGUCUGAUUAGCUAGUUGGUGAGAUAACUGCCCACCAAGGCGACGAUCAGUAGCCGACCUGAGAGGGUGAUCGGCCACAUUGGAACUGAGACACGGUCCAAACUCCUACGGGAGGCAGCAGUGGGGAAUAUUGCACAAUGGGCGAAAGCCUGAUGCAGCAACGCCGCGUGAACGAUGAAGGUCUUCGGAUCGUAAAGUUCUGUUGCAGGGGAAGAUAAUGACGGUACCCUGUGAGGAAGCCCCGGCUAACUACGUGCCAGCAGCCGCGGUAAUACGUAGGGGGCUAGCGUUAUCCGGAUUUACUGGGCGUAAAGGGUGCGUAGGUGGUCCUUCAAGUCGGUGGUUAAAGGCUACGGCUCAACCGUAGUAAGCCGCCGAAACUGGAGGACUUGAGUGCAGGAGAGGAAAGUGGAAUUCCCAGUGUAGCGGUGAAAUGCGUAGAUAUUGGGAGGGACACCAGUAGCGAAGGCGGCUUUCUGGACUGCGACUGACACUGAGGCACGAAAGCGUGGGUAGCAAACAGG